rnacentral:rRNA from 1 species
AACGAACGCUGGCGGCAGGCUUAACACAUGCAAGUCGAACGCACCUUUCGGGGUGAGUGGCAGACGGGUGAGUAACGCGUGGGAACGUACCCUUUACUACGGAAUAACGCAGGGAAACUUGUGCUAAUACCGUAUGUGCCCUUCGGGGGAAAGAUUUAUCGGUAAAGGAUCGGCCCGCGUUGGAUUAGCUAGUUGGUGGGGUAAAGGCCUACCAAGGCGACGAUCCAUAGCUGGUCUGAGAGGAUGAUCAGCCACAUUGGGACUGAGACACGGCCCAAACUCCUACGGGAGGCAGCAGUGGGGAAUAUUGGACAAUGGGCGCAAGCCUGAUCCAGCCAUGCCGCGUGAGUGAUGAAGGCCCUAGGGUUGUAAAGCUCUUUCACCGAUGAAGAUAAUGACGGUAGUCGGAGAAGAAGCCCCGGCUAACUUCGUGC